rnacentral:miRNA from 1 species
ACUCCCUUCUGGUUCAUCAGGA